CCUUCUAUGACAUCAAGAUCAGCUAGAAACUAACAUACUAGAAAGUCCAGAGAAAAAGGUAAAUUGGAUUUAUGAAAAAUGUGCUCCAUAUUUAGAGAUGGCAUACAAGACAUGCUGCCACAUCUUAAUAGCCCCAGAUUAGUACCAUGCCUUAGAAAUACGACAGACCAUGCUGAUGAGCCUUCAAUGUUUCCAUUUUCAAUGUUUUCGCAACUCCAUCACACAUGGAGCAUCGAAAACCUUACCCCAGUUACGAUACAAGUCUGAGGCAUGAAAGUUCAAAGGACCCCAUGUGGUGGUAUUAAGGAGAAAAGAACCAUUCUAUACAUGGAAAUUAAGUAAAAAGGGUAAAAUGACCAUUUUUAUCAUCUGCACUGAGUAUAAUCAAUCCAUCACAAUCUACCACAACCCACACUCAACUGCAUUUCUACUGAGACUCCACAAAAAGGACUUCUAAACAGAAUGCUUUUACCUUGAUGUAUUUUCUUAAUAAGCCUAUGACAAACCAAGACAAUAGCGCUUUUCAAAAAAGUGAUCUUGACAAUUUCUCUCUAGCUAAUGAUUUUUCAGAACCAUAAACAAGAACGGUUCUAAUGUUUUUAAGUGGAGAAGAGACCUUUAUAUAAUGUCUAUCAGACGAUAGUUUCCAUAUUCAUGUAAUGGCAAGAAAAAUCAACUUUUUGCACUCGUCCCAUUGGACAAAAAACAGAACAAAAGCACAAACGACCAAAAAUAAUUUUGAAGCCAAAAAGAACAUUUACAAAAACAGUUGACUUUAUAGUUUGCCAAACAAGCCCCGUAAUAAUAAAUAUUUUUCAAAAUGGAGAGCUCUAUACAGUAUCUUAAAGCAUUGCCAAAACAAGGCCAAAGUAUUUCCCUAGUGGAAUCCAAAGAAGUGGCACUGCGGUCACAUUAACAACGACAUCAAGCAAGUCCAUCAACAAAUGCAGUAACAAGGAUAUAGCUUUUCAAAAUCUCAUGCACACGCCUCCUUAUCAAUGUAAAAGUCAUUUUUUCAUUAAUGUCUACAAGAAAUAAAGCCUGUUUCUCUACCAUGCAAAAUUCAUAGAAGUGCACUGUCGCAAUUGACAACCGCAUUCAAU